UGAGGAAUAUUGGUCAAUGGGCGCUAGCCUGAACCAGCCAAGUAGCGUGCAGGACGACGGCCCUAUGGGUUGUAAACUGCUUUUAUGCGGGGAUAAAGUCACCCACGUGUGGGUGUUUGCAGGUAUCGCAUGAAUAAGGACCGGCUAAUUCCGUGCCAGCAGCCGCGGUAAUACGGAAGGUCCGGGCGUUAUCCGGAUUUAUUGGGUUUAAAGGGAGCGUAGGCUGUUUGUUAAGCGUGUUGUGAAAUGUAAGAGCUCAACUUUUAGAUUGCAGCGCGAACUGGCAGACUUGAGUGCGCACAACGUAGGCGGAAUUCAUGGUGUAGCGGUGAAAUGCUUAGAUAUCAUGACGAACUCCGAUUGCGAAGGCAGCUUACGGGAGCGCAACUGACGCUAAAGCUCGAAGGUGCGGGUAUCGAACAGG
rnacentral:rRNA from 1 species